GACAUGCCAGGAAUCCUGAAGAGAUUUGGGAGUGCUCGAAAGAGAGCCUGGACACAGGUGCUGCAUGGCNGUCGUCAGCUNGUGUCGUGAGAUGUUGGGUUAAGUCCCGCAACGAGCGCAACCCUUGUCAUUAGUUGCUACGAAAGGGCACUCUAAUGAGACUGCCGGUGACAAACCGGAGGAAGGUGGGGAUGACGUCAGGUCAUCAUGGCCCUUAUGGGUAGGGCUACACACGUCAUACAAUGGCCGGGACAGAGGGCUGCCAACCCUGCGAGGGGGAGCUAANANCAGAAACCCGGUCGUAGUCCGGAUCGUAGUCUGCAACUCGACUGCGUGAAGUCGGAAUCGCUAGUAAUCGCGGAUCAGCUUGCCGCGGUGAAUACGUUCCCGGGUCUUGUACACACCGCCCGUCACACCAUGGGAGCGGGUUCUGCCAGAAGUAGUUAGCCUA
rnacentral:rRNA from 1 species